rnacentral:rRNA from 1 species
ACGGUUUCUGACACUAAGACACGAAAGCGUGGGGAGCAAACAGGAUUAGAUCCCCUGGUAGUCCACGCCGUAAACGAUGGCUGCUAGACGUUGGCGGGCUCGCUCGUCAGUGUCGCAGAUAACGCGUUAAGCACCCCUCCUGGGGAGUACGGCCGCAAGGUUGAAACUCUAAGGAAUUGAGGGGGGGCCGCACAAGCGGUGGAGCAUGUGGUUCAAUUCGAGGUAACGCGCAGAACCUUACCAGCCCUUGACAUAUGAAUCGCCGGCUCCGGAGAAGGAGCCUUCGGUUGGGCCGGAGUCAACACAGGUGAUGCAUGGCUGUCGUCAGCUCGUGUCGUGAGAUGUUGGGUUAAGUCCCGCAACGAGCGCAACCUUCGUCUCCAGUUGCCAUCAGGUAAAGCUGGGCAUCUUUGGAGAAACUGCGGGUGACAAGCGGGAGGAAGGUGGGGAGGACGUCAAGUCCUCAUGACCCUUACGGGGUGGGCUACACACGUGAUACAAUGGCGGUGACAGUGGGAUGCGAAGGGGCGACCCGGAGCCGAUCCUGAAAAGCCGUAUUAGUUCGGAUUGCACUCUGCAACUCGAGUGCAUGAAGGUGGAAUCGGUAGUAAUCGAGGAUCAGCAUGCGUCGGUGAACACGUUCCGGGGCUUUGUACACACCGCCUGUCACGCCAUGGGAGUUGGUUCUACCCGAAGAUGGUGCGCUAACCGCAAGGAGGCAGCCAGCCACGGUAGGAUCAAUGAUUGGGGCGAAGUCGUAACAAGGUAUC